CUCACUGCUGACAUCCUCCAAUUUAUCUUCCUUAGGGCACUUCUGAAUGCUGAAGUUUUGUGCUUUUUCCCAAUCCUACGGAUUCAUGCUGGCUUUCUGCACAUGCUCAUUAGCGGUCUCUAAGACUUGCAGUCAUUGACCUUGGCAGUGUGAAAAUGAGCAGGCCACGUGGUGAUGGUGGUUGGUGAGGGUAAGGGUGGAUGAGAGGAAGUUGUGCCAAGUGUUGAGGGCGCCUGUGGGCCAGUUGGGGGGAGGCACAGGUGAGGCACCCCCAGUGGUUCACAGUUGGGCUUCUCGAAGGAAACCACUUCUGUUCUCCAAAUGCCCUGGCUGCUGUUCUUUCAGGCCCUUCUGACCCUUCAGUUAUAUAGCACAUCUCAGUAUCCUGGAUGAGGCAAGAAGCACUGGGGCCUCUUCGGCAGCAUCCUGCAUAGCUGGGGAAGUGAGGCACUUAGUCACAUGCCUGCACUUUCCUUGUGAAGAAGUCACUGGCAAACAAGGUCUCCCUCAGUGCUGAGCUGUGCUACUGUGGAGGAAGGCUGACGGAUCGAGUGAAACUGUUCUCCUCCUCUUUAGUGUGUCCAAUCUUAGAUUUUCCUCCAUAAGUGUGUUGGAACUUCUCUGUUGGACUCCUGGAAAUCCAAAAGCACUCUCAUUUGUGGGUGAUGGUCCAAACUGGUGGGGUUUUUUUCAUGGGGGAAGACAGUGGAAAACUUUCAUUCCUCCAUUUCACUGUCACCUCUCCCUGCAUUUUAUGUUUAGUAAUGCAGAUUGCCACAAAUAUCUAAACUUUUUGGAAGAAAAUAAUUUUAAUUCCAAUGUAAUGGGCCACUGUGGAUUUUGUGUGGUUUUGUUCAACACAGACUCCGGCUCAGAACCUUUGCUUCUUGGAAAUACACUUGGAACUCUGCUGGAAAAUGUUAGCUUUCUCUUUCUCUAUAAUAUUGAUACACCUGUCACAUUCAAGCAGGGCCCAUGAUUAAUCUUAACGUGCAGGUGUUCCUAACUGAGGCUAGAUUUUGAAUUUGCUUCAUUCUAUGCAGUCUGUUUUAAUUUUGAUUAAUUGCCAUCAGAAAUAAUAACUCCUCAAGGCAGAUCAUUAGGAAGCUACAAAAUCGAUUAUGUUUAGCUACAGGAUAUAUAAAAACUAGUCACCACCACUGAAAUGAUCACAGAUACCCUUUCAGUUACAUGCGCAAGGAAUACUUCGGUCAUUCCAACUGGAUUUCAGGAACAGAUUGAAAUAGAAUUGGAAAUGUUUUUUCAUAAAUAAGUUAGCUUUUAAAUUUGCCUUUUUUUUUCUCAAUAGAUUUUCCUAAUUCUGAAAUGAAAAUCACUAACCACAACUGAUAGUCAUGGAUGGUCGGAAUAAGAUUCUUUAGGUAAGUGUUAGGGAACAUACCUCAGUACAUAUUUGCAAUAAUUAAUUGACAGAUUCAUGAGCUCCUGAUGUAUGCAUAAGGAAAGACCUGGGCUUAUUGCUCAUUCUCCACCUGAGACCAUUGCCUUUGUUGAGGUAAUGACUGGUUCACUUUGUGGUUUGACGCAGUAAGCUCCUAACUGCCUCUAGUGUCCUUACCUCCGGUUAGUUUCUUAGCUCAAGCAUACUCAACUAUUUUCUCUUUCCUAAAUAGUGCACAUCAGCGCCUACCUUUGCAUAUGACUCUUGCUAUCCCUGGAACACUCUUACUUUCCCAUUACAUCUGGCUACCUCAUACUUAGUACUUCUCUUAAAUGUCAACUAUUCUAUGGGAAGUUUUGUUGCAUCACCCCUCUUGGGGGCUCUCCUAUGUGUCACAUUGCAUCCUGGGCCAUUUCUAUGUCACUGCUGUCUUAUUUUAUUGUUACUGAAUGUCUGUCUCCUCUUUUAGACUAUGAGGUCUCUGAGAGCAAAAGUUUUGUCUCGUGUCUCUGUAGCCCUUAGUUCAGGGCAUCCUAACCUUUUGUGCUUCACACGCCCCUUUGAGAAUCUGACGAAAAUCAUAAACUUGGAUCUCUAGAUGAAGAACUCUGAAUUUUGCAAGUAAUUUCAAGGAGUUCUGGGAUACUCUAAUUCCAUCUGUGGACCUUAGAACUCCAUGGACCCCUAAUUAAGAACCCCUGCACUGGCAUCUGGGUACAUCAAAAUAGUUAUCACUUAAAUCCUUACUGUGUGUCAGACAUUGUUCCGUGCACUUCACAGGAUCUUCCCCAUUUAAUACCUACAACAACCCUAUGAGGUAGAUACUCUGGAUAUCCCCAGUUUAAAUAUAAGGAAACAGAGGAACAGCAUAGAAGUAACUUGCUCACAACUAUUCAUGAGCCCGCACUCUUCACUAGCCUCCUCUGUCAACCAUAACACUGCCUUAUUUCUAGCCUCACUAUGGUGCUGUUCAUAACACUCCACCUAAAGGGCACUGCAAAGUGUCCGUUGAAUGAACCAUAGAAUGAGCAAUAGUGUUAUAUAUACCAGAAACUAUGAAUAAACUAAAAUCAUGCAGAAAAUAAAGAGGCUUAGUGUUCAAAUGGUUGAAGCUUUCUCAGUGGGAUGGAUAGUAUAGAACGUAAGCAACACCCGGUUUCCAUUUAGCUUUAAAUAUAAGGAGUGUGGAGAGGGGCACUUGAGUGGCUCACUCAGUUAAGCAUCUGCCUUUGGCUCGGGUCAUGAUCUCAGAGUCCUGGGAUUGAGCCCUGUGUCGGACUCCCCACUAAGCAGGGAGUCUGCUUGUCUCUCUAAGUCUGCCCCUCCCCUUGCUCAUGAUCACUCUUUCUCUGUUAAAUAAAUAAAUAAAUAAAUAAAUAAAUAAAUAAAUAAGUCUUUUUAAAAAAAGUAUAAGGAGUGAGAAGGUAAAGAAUUUUUAUUGAAUGUUUAAUACACACCUGACCUUGAGUUUGGCACUUCCUAAACAAUCCAUAUCAAACAAUAGUGGUAACAGAGCUUGAAAAAAAUUGAACUUUGAGUCACGUAUUGACCUUGGGGAAGGACUGGGUGGGAAAAUAUAAAGUUCUGUGUUUUUUAAAGCAAGCAUUAAUAAAGCACCGUUUGUAGAAGCCUAACUGUUGGCUCCCUGUGACAUCCCUGAGCACAAGUUUUAGGGCUAGACUGAAGAAGGAUUAGGGAGGUAAGGGUGGGCUAAGCUUUUUCCUUCUUUUAAUAACAAUAAGCUUUACAUGUAUUUUGUGAUAAGGAAGAGUUUUACAAUUCCAGUCUGAUGUGACUAGGACAUUCACUCCAGUGUGCAUGCACACACUUCUGUUCUGGUUUCAGAAAGGCAGGAAGGGAAGGUGAGAAUGAAAGAGAAGAGAAACACAUAUGUGAUUAUUAUGUGCCAGUAAUUACAAUAAACCACGUUAAACAAUUCCAAAUAGAGUCCGUCAGCUAAUCUAGCCCAUAGUCCCUACUAUAGUCAAUGGUUUAUUUAUUUAUUUAUAUAUUUUUAAAAGAUUUUAUUUAUUUAUUCAUCUCUCUC
rnacentral:lncRNA from 1 species